CUGGUGGAGAGAAGCAGUUUGUGGGACAGCUGGCAGAGCAGAGUGGAGGCCCAUGGAGAGGCGGAGCAGUCAGCUUUGGACCAUCCUCAAAGCCAUAUUUUUCAGUUCGUCUGAAGUGUAACAUAGUGACAAGAGGACUCCUGGCUCAAAGACAGUGGCUGGAAAGGGGAACGUCUCGGGAUGGAAUGUGACUCGCAGGGGAACGUCCAGGAGUCGUCUGAGAACUUUGCUUAUAUAUGUGCAUUAUCUGGAUGAAAAUAUCAAAUCAGAAAUAUCCAUCUGCCAAGAGACUUCCUCCGUUUAACAGAUACUAACAACAAAACCAAAGGGAGUGAAGGCCAAAAAUGCCGCAUUUCCUGACACAUCCUGCAACACAAGAAGAUCUCAUCAAAACGCUGCAGCGCCAGCAAAGUUUACACGUCAAUAGCAACACUCAGUCCUGAAUACGGUGGGGUAAUGAAUCUUCCCUCUUAAAUUACGCCAACAGAACAGUUCCUGGCAGCCUUAUCUAGACCGUGACAUCCUGCCUAUAGACGGGAAUCUGCAGGAGCACAAAAAACACGACUCGCCCAGCAGAAUAUACAAUACAACUCUCGGACCUGUGGGACUACUGAUUUACUGUCUAGCGCUAACCAAGGAAGAAAGCUCCCACGUAUCACCGAGUCUCUUUCUUAAACCUGAAAACCUUAAAUUGUUAGUUGCACAGAUCUGAGCAGCACGUACAAAAGGUCCAGCUGGCCAGAAUCAAGACAUUUUUAAAAGCAGUGACUAGUGUCAUGGACAGUGCGAGUCAGCAGUUUAAUUUAAUCAUAAUGUUUAGGCUCUAGUGAAGGGAACAUUAAUUGUCUUGGCACUUGUGGAAAAAAACAUGCGUCGAUUUUUUAAAAUAUUACGCGCAGCAGUGGGCGCUGUGUAGGUAAGACUGGAGGUUUCUUUCUUUUAUAAACUGGAUUUUCAACCCACGCCCUAGCCUAAGUUCCCUGGCGCAGCAGGCUAUUAAGGGCCGCGCAGGCUCGCAGCGGAGAGAAAUGCCUCUCCCCCAGCCCCACCGGAGCUGCUGCGGCACGGAAAGGCACCUCUCCCCUAGCCCCGGGCUGCUGCAGCGAGAGAGGGCUGGGGGGGAGUCCUCUCUCCCCACCACAACCCCGGGGCAGCCUGCACCCCAAAUCUCUCAUCCACGGCCCCACCUCAGAGCCCGCACCUCCAGCCAGAGCCCUCACACC